UACGUAGGGGGCAAGCGUUGUCCGGAAUCAUUGGGCGUAAAGCGCGUGUAGGCGGGUUGUUAAGUCCGCUGUGAAAGCCCGGUGCUCAACGCCGGAGGGUCGGUGGAUACUGGCAGUCUUGAAGUGGCUAGGGGGAGAUGGAAUUACCGGUGUAGCGGUGAAAUGCGUAGAUAUCGGUAGGAACACCAGUGGCGAAGGCGGUUUCCUGGAGCUAACUUGACGCUGAGACGCGAAAGCUGGGGGAGCAAACGGG
rnacentral:rRNA from 1 species